AGCAACUGUUUCUGUAACGCCCACAAGUCCGGAACGGAGCGAGCUUUGCAGCCACCAACCAAAGUUCUUCUUUUGAGAUACUUUUCCGAUCAUUUCCGCAAUUCUUUCUUCUUCUUCUUCUUUUCCUUUUUUUUUUUUUUGGUCCCCUGAGAGUGAAAGAGACUGUAUUGUUUCCCUUUGUUGCCUCUUUUUCAUUUUGCAUUUUUCUUUCUGUGCAAUUCGUUUAUCGAAAUGCUGGUUCGGAUGAGGGUGAUGACUUGGGGUAGGGUUGGCAAGUCUCUUCAAGCUCUUCUUGCUCAUGGUUUACUCUUCUCAUUCACUCUCCUGCUUGUUCUCAAGAUUGACCGUGUCGUUCCUUACUCAUGGUGGAUUAUAUUUUCACCUCUUUGGCUUUUUCAUGGUGUUGUAGCGCGAGGUCGGUUUUCCCUGCCUGCUCCUUCAAUGCCUCAUGAUCGCCAUUGGGCUCCUUGUCAUGCCAUCAUGGGAACUCCAUUACUUGUUGCUUUUGAGAUACUUCUUUGUAUACAUCUUGAGAGCUCUUAUGCGAUCAAUUUAAAGAUAGUUUUUUUACCGCUGCUGGCUUUUGAAGUGGCAAUUUUGAUUGAUAACAUUAGGAUGUGUAGGAUUUUGCUGCCAGUAGAUGAUGAAAAUAUGAGUGAUGAAGCAAUAUUCGAAACCCUUCCUCACUUCUGGAUUAUGGCAUCAAUGGUCUUCUUUAUUGCUGCUACAGUGUUUACUCUUCUUAAGAUAUCUGGUGAAGUAGCUACUCUAGGCUGGUGGGACUUAUAUAUUAACUUUGGCAUUGGAGAGUGCUUUGCCUUUCUUUCUUCUGCAAAGUGGUACAAUCCAAGAAUUCAUGGUGACAUUACUGAGUCAUCAUCAUUAUUUGUGCGAUACCAAGACCGGGGUAGCAGCUUAGACUGGCAGCAAAGUGGGUUAUGCAAUCUGCAGAACAUUGGUGGGCACAUUAUGAAGAUUCUUUUCAUUGGUUUCCAAAUACUGCUAAUUUUGCAUUUAGAGGGAAGUCCCGCCACUGCCAGAAAUAUGCCGUUACAGACUGUUUUUUCUCCUCUUUUUCUGUUGCAAGGAGCUGCUGUUUUAUUUGCAGCUUACAGAUUGGCGGAAAAACUAGUACUUUUACUUUACGAUGGAGAAAUUUCUGCAAGAUACUCAGCUGUUGCAUCAAAAGCACACGAUUGCUUUGGUUUCUUGGAUCAUGGGUCAAGGUUGCUGGGUUGGUGGUCGAUAGAUGAAACAAGUAGAGAGGAACAAGCUAGAAUAUACUAUGAUGGGAAUUCAAAGUAUAAUACUUUCUCCCCUGAUAUGGUGAAGAAAAUGCCUAGAGCAGUUCUUGCUGAGGAGAUUUGUAGACUGCAGGCUGCAUUGACUGAGCAGACUGAUGUUACAAAAUUUAGCCAGCAGCAGUAUGAAAGACUACAAAAUUUUAUGAAACUAAGGCAACGGGGAUGCUGCAACGUAAAGCUGUCAUUUUGGCCCCAUUACUUCAUGGCAAAGGUACCCCCACAUAAUUAUUGCAUUUGUUUGUUAAGGAAUCUGGUACCCCACAGAGAUUUUCCUUUAGCGGCCAAAGGUACCCCCCCAAAGUUACUGGAGGCUACUUUGUCUAUAAACAAGUAGAUCUGUGAUUUGGAAAACCUUAUCCGAUACAACUGACGUAUUCUUGGCUUCCCUUUUUCCAAUUAAAAUGAAUGUAUAUAUAUUCAUGCUCUCAUUUAUUCUUAUUAUUAUUGUGAACCGUGGAAUCUUUUUGUUCAUUGUGCUUGAAUGACGGCAAAGGGUAAACCAUUUUAAUGUUAGGAUCCAUUUCACUGUUAACCAAGUAAUUGAUUAAUCUAUCAGGAAAAGAUCCUAUGCAGAGUUUGCUUUGAAGAGCAGAUAAAUGUGGUUCUGCUUCCUUGCAGGCAUCAUAUUAUUUGCAGUGCUUGCUGUGAAAAAUGUAAGAGGUGUCCUGUCUGCCGUGUCUGCAUCGAAAAAGCAAUGCCUGUAU